AGAGUUUGAUCCUGGCUCAGAACGAACGCUGGCGGCGUGCUUAACACAUGCAAGUCGAACGAGAAAAUCUGAUUCGUCAGAUGAGUAAAGUGGCAGACGGGUGAGUAACAGGUAGGUAAUCUACCCUCGAGAAAGGAAUAACCCACCGAAAGGUGGGCUAAUACCUUAUAUGACCAAGAAUCCUUUGGGUUUCGUGGUAAAAGGUGGCCACUAUUUAAUAUGCUAUCGCUUGAGGAUGAGCCUGCAUCCUAUUAGUUAGUUGGUAAGGUAACGGCUUACCAAGGCUAUGACGGGUAGCUGGUCUGAGAGGAUGAUCAGCCACACUGGGACUGAGACACGGCCCAGACUCCUACGGGAGGCAGCAGUGAGGAAUAUUCCGCAAUGGGCGAAAGCCUGACGGAGCGACGCCGCGUGAAGGAUGAAGGCCCUCGGGUCGUAAACUUCUUUUAUGAGGGAGGAAAUUUUUGACGUUACCUCAUGAAUAAGAGGCUCCUAAUUCCGUGCCAGCAGGAGCGGUCAUACGGAUGCCUCGAGCGUUACCCGGAAUCACUGGGCGUAAAGGGUGUGUAGGCGGUUGUAUUAGUCUCCUGUUAAAGGCCCGGGCUCAACCCGGGAGAUGCGGGGGAAACGGUACAACUAGAGGAUGAGAGAGGUGCACAGAACUCACGGUGUAGGGGUGAUAUCCGUUGAUAUCGUGGGGAAUACCAAAGGCGAAGGCAGUACACUGGCUCAUUCCUGACGCUGAGACACGAAAGCGUGGGUAGCGAACGGGAUUAGAUACCCCGGUAGUCCAUGCCCUAAACGUUCCUAACUAGCUUUGGGGAGUAUCGACCCUCUCCGAUGCGAAGCUAACGCGUUAAGUUAGGCGCCUGGGUAGUACGAGCGCAAGCUUAAAACUCAAAGGAAUAGACGGGGACUCGCACAAGCGGUGGAGCGUGUGGCUUAAUUCGUCACCAAGCGAAGAACCUCACCAAGGCUUGAAACCUAGGGGAACACUUUUGGAAACAUAAGUGGCCUUCGGGCUCCUAGGCAGGUGAUGCAUGGCCGUCGUCAGUUCGUGGUUUGAAUUGUACCGUUAAGUCGGGCAACGAACGCAACCCCUGUUGUCUGUUACAAGUGUCAGGCAAGACUGCCCUUUUUUGGGAGGAAGGUGGGGAUGACGCCAGGUCCGUAUUUCCCUCUGAUGCCUUGGGCGGCACACGCGCUGCAAUGGGUACUACAACGGGUCGCGACGGGGUAACCCUAAGCAAAUCCUUAUAAAAGUAUCCUCAGUUCGGAUUGUGGGCUGCAACUCGCCCACAUGAAGUCGGAAUCGCUAGUAAUCGCAGGUCAGCCAUACUGCGGUGAAUACGUUCUCGAGUCUUGUACUCACCGCCCGUCAACACAAGGGAGCUGGGAGUACCCGA
rnacentral:rRNA from 1 species